rnacentral:rRNA from 1 species
CUACGGGGUGCUGCAGUGGGGAAUAUUGGACAAUGGGAGAAAUCCUGAUCCAGCAAUUCUGUGUGCAUGAUGACGGUCUUCGGAUUGUAAAGCGCUUUCGACAGGGAAGAAUAAAUUGACGGUACCUGUAUAAGAAGCGACGGCUAAAUACGUGCCAGGCAGCCGCGGUAAUACGUAUGUCGCAAGCGUUAUCCGGAAUCACUGGGCAUAAAGGGCGGCUAGGCGGUUUGAAAAGUCAGUGGUGAAAGGUAUGGGCUCAACCCGUGCAUUGCCAUUGAAACUCUUAAACUAGAGUAUGGGAGAGGAGGGCGGAACUACAAGAGUAGCGGUGAAAUGCGUAGAUAUUUGUAGGAAUGCCAAUGACGAAGGUAGCUCUCUGGACCAAUACUGACGCUAAAGCGCGAAAGCUAGGGUAGCAAACAGGAUUAGAUACCCGAGUAGUC